CCCCGCUCGCUCAGCCCUUCCUGUCUCUCCCCCCACAUCUCACAUUACUUUGUGCUGGUGACAACUACUCUCCUGCCCCAUUCACUCUCUCACAUGAUCCCCCCAGGCCUGAGCCCCCCAAUGUCCAGUCAGCUGGUGUGAGACGCCGGGAGCCCCGCGCAAGGGCUGGAGGUUUCUGCCAGUCUACUGCCAAGCCCCUUGCCUGACACAUAAGAAGCAUGGAUUCAGACGAUGGCCAUUUUGGGGGUUUUCACUCCAAGGGGUCAACUUCGAUCAUUGGAGCAGAGGAUGAGGAUUUUGAAAAUGACAUUGAGCCGAAUAUGGUUGAUGAGAGCAGUUACUUCCGAAGCAUUGCAAUCGUGAAAGACCACCCAGCCUACAUUAUGGUGUUCUUGCAGCAUGUGGUUCUCCAGUUUGACCCAAGCCCACUGCUCUGUUUUCUGCAUGCGGAGAUGCUAAAGAACCUUUCAACCAAAGAGCUCAAGAAAGUCUUCCUGGAGUUUCACUACAGUUUCCUGAUGAAAGGAGCGGUGCUGCAUGUCAAUGUGCCAAGCAGCAUAUCCUUUGAACUGGAUCGGACAAGGCCCGAGUUGAUCCCAGAAGAAACCCAGAGGAAAUUUGUGAAAGAGAUUCAGAGCUACCAAGUAGAGGCCAUUUCCCACCAGCUGGAGGAUUUUAGGGCCAAGCGGGUACUUGGUAUGACCCCCGGGGAACUGGAGCUAAAUGAACUUGAAUCUUACCGAACCAACGAUCGCAGUAUCCUGGAAGCCAAAGAAAAGCAGUUGGCAGAGCAGCUCCUGGCACGGCUGGAUGAGAUGCACCUAACUCUUGCUCCAGACGAGGACAAAAGCUCUUCAAUCUUCUGCGCCAUUGUCGCCUACAUGAAGCACCUAGGGGUGAAGACCAAGGCGGCGGAUAGCAAGAAAUCCAAAGGAAUCUUCUUCAGGAAAAAGGUUUCUACAAACAAAAAGGAUGAGCCUCUGAAAACAAAGAAACCAUUCAGCAUUUUGGAUCCGAUGCGCUGGAACCGGAAUGAUUCUCACUAUGUUGAGAGCAGACCGGCAAAAGUUGAGCCCGAAGCUGAGAAGCCUACCCAGGAGAGAAGGAUCAGCAAUGCGCAGAAAACGUUUGAUAGGAGCGACAGCAGCGCAGCCAAAUCCAAGAACAGCGAGGGUCCUGAUUCUGGGGUGUCUGUAAAUAUCAUCCCUCCUCCUAAUGAGCCCAUUGAGAGCGACCCAGCAAUAACUGAUGGGAUGUUGUUUAAUGACGUAUCUGAGGUCCCCAAAGGAUCCCCCACCACUGAGCAUUGUCCAGCAGACCAUCAGAUGGAGGAAAGUGCAGAAAACGAAAGACGGAAGAAAAGGCUCUCUGGUAAACUGGGCCGCUCGGAGAGCCUACGAGUUUACGAGCGCAAGCGUUCCCAACGUGGCUCCGCCAAAGCCAAGCAGACACGUUCCCGUAGCGACGUUGACCUGGAGGCAGCUGCCCGAGCCAACGACUUGCAGGGCACCACUGGGAAGUUUGGGCCAAAAUCUGGCAACUACACCCCAGAGCCUGGAGGGAGCUCAGAGGGCCCGCCGUCCUUUCUGCUUCCCCAGUCUGAGGAGACUGAGCCGCGCGUUCAGGAGGCCGAGAUCGAACCCCCAAACUGGAGGGAGCUCGUCCCCCCUGAAAUACUCCUCAGGCUGAAGAAAAGUGAAAUCAAGCGGCAAGAGGUCAUCAAUGAGCUCUUCUUUACAGAACACGCUCAUGUGCGGAUGCUUCGUGUGUUGCAUGAUGUCUUCUACAUCCCCAUGCAAAGCGGAUGGAUCCCCACCUUGGAGCUGGAGAACAUCUUCCCCAGCCUGGAUGACCUUAUUGAGGCUCACGCUGUAUUCCUGGACACCUUGAAGCAUCUGCGCCUUGAGAAUAACUCCGUGAUCCAGGAGAUAGGCACCAUUCUGCUGAACCGGUUUGAUGGCACAGAGGGCAACUGGUUUCAGAAGAUUUCAUCUCGGUUCUGUAGCCGGCAGCCAUUUGCCCUGGAACAGCUGAAAGUGAAACAGAAGAGGGACCCUCGAUUCACUCAGUUUAUUCAGGAAGCUGAGAGCAGUCCUCAUUGCCGACGAUUACAACUUAAGGACAUCAUACCAUUUGAGAUGCAGAGACUGACAAAGUACCCGUUGCUGCUGCAGAACAUCGCAAAUCUAACUGAGGAAGAGGAGGAGAAGCAGAGAGUGCAGAGGGCAGCGGAGUGUUGCAGGCAAAUCCUGAACCAUGUUAACCAGGAGGUGCGGGAGAUGGAGAAUAAGAUGAAACUUACAGAUUACCAAAAACGCCUGGAUGUUUCCAACCUGCGGCAAACCAACGACCCUUUAUUAAAUGAGUUUAAGAAUAUUGAUAUCAGCAAAAAGAAUUUGAUACAUGAAGGAUCUCUUUCAUGGAGAGUGAGCAAAGACAAAGCCGUUGAUGUCCAUGUCCUCCUACUGGAUGAUCUCUUGAUGCUGCUGCUGAAACAAGAUGAGCGGCUGGUGCUGAAGUGCCAGAGUCGAACUAUUAUUCCUGCCCCAGAUGGGAAGCUCAUGUUGAGCCCGAUCAUCAAGCUGAAUAUGGCCAUGGUUCGAGAGGUGGCCACAGAUAAGAAUGCCUUUUUUGUGAUUUUCAACUGGGAGGAUCGAGCACAGUUCUAUGAACUUGUGGCACCCACACCAGCUGAAAAGAAAAACUGGUUUUUACUGAUCAGCAAAACUACAGGCUUAUUGGAACCUCCACCUUCUUCCAAACAGAGACACAGAUCUAUCACUCCUGGGACAAUGCCACAGAGCCCCUCCGACUUUGCGGAUCAGCUGCUGAGCAGCUCAGAAAAUGGAAACUCCCUGAAAGAGUCGGUCUCCAAAGAUGAAAAGGAAGAGUCGGUGGAGGAUGCAUCGGAGAGUCUAGAAGAGAAGGACUUUGUCGGCCUAACAGAAUACCUCCUCGCCAGCAACAUCGAUUUGAACCAAGAGGCGGCGUCGGGAGGGAAUGUUGCCAAUGAGGCGUUGGAAGAAGUGACGGUGCUAAAACGUCUGCUAGUGCGCAAUAUCCGCCUGAGCGUGGAUGCAGACUUGCUCUCAACCCUGGAGACUUGGUCAGCCGGGGAAGAAGCUGCCUCCGAAAAGACCACUGAACAGGGAAAGGCCUCCAAUGGGGGUGGGGAGGCCGAGCUUUCUGUAGUGGAAGCUGAAGUGGAAUGUACAGUGCAGGGAGAGAAUGGCAGAAAGCUGAGUCCUACAGAUGGCGCAGAGUCUCUGUGCGCACCCAUUGUACUGUCCAAGGAGCAGUCGGAGGAGGUGAAGAGGCACAUUCUGUCCCUGGAGCAGAGGAUCCAUCAGCUGAAGCUGAUCGAGGAAGAUUACAACAACCUGCACAGAACAAUAACCAAAAUUACUGUACCGAGGAGCAGCUUUACAUGAGACGAUUCUAUCCAGCGGAGUUCACGGGCGCCAUCUUCUUCUCUUCGGUAAUCUUCAUAAUGAGACCGGCGAAGCUGUGCAUGCGCAACUUUCUGUUUCGCGAAAACUGCGCAUCAGCUGAAACUCGCGAGUAUUGCAGAAUCGGCAAUCACAUUCCAAAGAUUACCGAAUCGGCUGAAGAUGGGGCCCGUGAACUCUGGAUCUCAUCUCUGUCCCAGCUGGAAAGCUCCUCCCAUUCAUACCUGUGUGUCAGCCAAAGAAGCAAGAAGUGAUUGGACUUUUCCUUCUGUUCUUAAUAAUCCCAUGUUGGCGGUUGGGACUGAAAAGACUGCCAUAUUUAUAUUGGGUGGGGUGGGGGGGAAGUGGCCGCUAAUCGUCAGGACCCCUAUCCUACAUAUUGGACAACAAAGUGCCUUCUUUUUUAUUUUCAGGGAACCAUUGGAGGGGGGAGACGGCUUCUGAGAUAAUUAUAUAUAUAUUCUGUAUUCGGUUGUUAAAGUUUAUAUAUAUUUUAGAUAUAUAGGUUCUUAUCUUGGCUGUACAGUAAAAUAAUCAUGUCUGCAUUGUAUGAACUGAGAUGACUUUUUCUCCGACCUGUGCAUCUGUAGGGGCCAAGUUUUGCCCCCUCCGUUGAAUUAGUGCCUUAAAAUCCCGUGCCUUACUUCCUGCCCCUUAUCUCUUGCACAGAGGAUGGAGCCAACUGUAGCGCUGCCAACUGCUCUACACUGACUGCAGAGAGUACAUUCCGUUAAUAGAAAGAAACUGCAAUGAGUUCUUUACACUUCCCUCCCGUCUCUAGAGGGUGCAGGGAGUUAUAAUGAAACGACAGCUGUGGGUUAUAGGCUUCUGAGACAUGGGGUAAGUGCUAUAUAGGUAUAUGCUUGCAUAGUGUUAGCAUGGGAUCUCAGAAAUGAAUUUGUCGAUAGAGUA